rnacentral:rRNA from 1 species
CCUACGGGAGGCAGCAGUGAGGAAUAUUGGUCAAUGGACGAGAGUCUGAACCAGCCAAGUAGCGUGAAGGAUGACUGCCCGAUGGGUUGUAAACUUCUUUUAUAUGGGAAUAAAAUGUUCCACGUGUGGGAUUCUGUAUGUACCAUAUGAAUAAGGAUCGGCUAACUCAGUGCCAGCAGCCGCGGUAAUACGGAGGAUCAGAGCGGUAGCCGGAUUUAUUGGGUUUAAAGGGAGCGUAGGUGGCUUGUUAAGUCAGUUGUGAAAGUUUGCGGCUCAACCUUAAAAUUGCAGUUGAAACUGGCAGUCUUGAGUACACUAGAGGUGGGCGGAAUUCGUGGUGUAGCGGUGAAAUGCUUAGAUAUCACGAAGAACUCCGAUUGCGAAGGCAGCUCACUGGACUGCAACUGACACUGAGGCUCGAAAGUGUGGGUAUCAAACAGGAUUAGAUACCCUAGUAGUC